GGCUAACUCCGUGCCAGCAGCCGCGGUAAUACGGAGGGUGCGAGCGUUAAUCGGAAUUUACUGGGCGUAAAGCGCAUGCAGGUGGUUUGUUAAGUCAGAUGUGAAAGCCCGGGGCUCAACCUCGGAAUUGCAUUUGAAACUGGCAAACUAGAGUACUGUAGAGGGGGUAGAAUUUUCAGGUGUAGCGGUGAAAUGCGUAGAGAUCUGAAGGAAUACCGGUGGCGAAGGCGGCCCCCCUGGACAGAUACUGACACUCAGAUGCGAAAGCGUGGGGGAGCAAAACAGGAUUAGAUACCCCUGGUAG
rnacentral:rRNA from 1 species